rnacentral:rRNA from 1 species
GCAAACUGGAGAUGGCGACCGGCGCACGGGUGAGUAACACGUAUCCAACCUGCCGAUAACUCGGGGAUAGCCUUUCGAAAGAAAGAUUAAUACCCGAUGGCAUAAUAGAACCGCAUGGUUUGAUUAUUAAAGAAUUUCGGUUAUCGAUGGGGAUGCGUUCCAUUAGUUUGUUGGCGGGGUAACGGCCCACCAAGACUACGAUGGAUAGGGGUUCUGAGAGGAAGGUCCCCCACAUUGGAACUGAGACACGGUCCAAACUCCUACGGGAGGCAGCAUG